UACGGAGGGGGCUAGCGUUGUUCGGAAUUACUGGGCGUAAAGCGCACGUAGGCGGAUAUUUAAGUCAGGGGUGAAAUCCCGGGACUCAACCCCGGAACUGCCUUUGAUACUGGGUAUCUGGAGGUCGAGAGAGGCGAGUGGAAUUCCGAGUGUAGAGGUGAAAUUCGUAGAUAUUCGGAGGAACACCAGUGGCGAAGGCGGCUCGCUGGCUCGAUACUGACGCUGAGGUGCGAAAGCGUGGGGAGCAAACAGG
rnacentral:rRNA from 1 species